ensembl:lncRNA
AGUGAGAGAUAGAGUGAGAGAGAGAGUGAGAGAAAGAGAGAGUGAGAGAGAGAGUGAGAGUGAGAGAGAGAGUGAGAGAGAGUGAGAGAGUGAGAGAAAGAGAGAGAGAGUGAGAGAGAGUGAGAGAGAGAGUGAGAUAGAGUGGGAGAGAGAGUGAGAGAGAGAGAGAGAGAGAGAGAGAGAGAGAGAGAGAGAGAGAGAGAGAGAGAUACAGACAGAAAGAGAGACGGAGAGACAAAUAGACGGAGAGAGACAGAGUGAGAGCAGGGAGACAGACAGACAGAGAGACGGAGAGACAAAUAGACAAAGAGACAGACAGACAGAGAGAGAA